GUGCUCACUUCCGGCAGCACAUAUACUAAAAUUGGAAAGAAACAGAGAAGAUUAUCAUGGCCCCUGGGCGAGGAUGACAUGCAAAUUUGUGAAUUGGUCCAUAUUUAA